GGCCCAGUGGUGUAGUGGUAACAUGUCCUCUUGCUUUACUUCACAACUGGUAUGUAGCCAGAGGAAGCACCCUGUUUGAUUCAGGGCUGGGCCA